GAUGAACGCUGGCGGCGUACCUAAUACAUGCAAGUCGAGCGAACAGACGAGGAGCUUGCUCCUCUGACGUUAGCGGCGGACGGGUGAGUAACACGUGGAUAACCUACCUAUAAGACUGGGAUAACUUCGGGAAACCGGAGCUAAUACCGGAUAAUAUAUUGAACCGCAUGGUUCAAUAGUGAAAGACGGUUUUGCUGUCACUUAUAGAUGGAUCCGCGCCGCAUUAGCUAGUUGGUAAGGUAACGGCUUACCAAGGCAACGAUGCGUAGCCGACCUGAGAGGGUGAUCGGCCACACUGGAACUGAGACACGGUCCAGACUCCUACGGGAGGCAGCAGUAGGGAAUCUUCCGCAAUGGGCGAAAGCCUGACGGAGCAACGCCGCGUGAGUGAUGAAGGUCUUCGGAUCGUAAAACUCUGUUAUUAGGGAAGAACAAAUGUGUAAGUAACUAUGCACGUCUUGACGGUACCUAAUCAGAAAGCCACGGCUAGCUACGUG
rnacentral:rRNA from 1 species